UGCUGUUAAUGAUGAAUGUAAAAAGAUGGGAAUCUCUCUGAAAUGCAAUGAAAGAGAACCCUUUUUACUGAAAUUGCA